rnacentral:rRNA from 1 species
GACGAACGCUGGCGGCGUGCUUAACACAUGCAAGUCGAACGGAAAGGCCCUGCUUUUGUGGGGUGCUCGAGUGGCGAACGGGUGAGUAACACGUGAGUAACCUGCCCUUGACUUUGGGAUAACUUCAGGAAACUGGGGCUAAUACCGGAUAGGAGCUCCUGCUGCAUGGUGGGGGUUGGAAAGUUUCGGCGGUUGGGGAUGGACUCGCGGCUUAUCAGCUUGUUGGUGGGGUAGUGGCUUACCAAGGCUCUGACGGGUAGCCGGCCUGAGAGGGUGACCGGCCACAUUGGGACUGAGAUACGGCCCAGACUCCUACGGGAGGCAGCAGGGGGGAAUAUUGCACAAUGGGCGAAAGCCUGAUGCAGCAACGCCGCGUGCGGGAUGACGGCCUUCGGGUUGUAAACCGCUUUCGCCUGUGACGAAGCGUGAGUGACGGUAAUGGGUAAAGAAGCACCGGCUAACUACGUG